CUGAGAUAACGGGUGUCCUUCACAAUAGCCAGUUUCAGGGAGAGCUGGAAGGAAAUGCCUCAUUGGGCUGAUCUGUGGAAGAAGACAAGCAGAAAAAGAAGAGUCAACUCUGCAGAGGAGUUUGAGGUGAAAGAAAGCAGUUGCAGGAGGAAGAUGUGUAGUCAAAAUAUUAAUACAAAUAUUACUGAGGCAAAUAUUACUGAGGAAGGAUCAAAUAGAGAGAUAGAAACUGGUGAUGGAAGAGGAAGCAGAUACCACUGCAAUAAUAAAUCCAUGAAGAAGAAGGGAGGAGUUGCGGAGAGGCUGGUCUGAACAGCAAGAAUAAACCCCCAUUGUAAAGAGAAGAAAGUACACCCUGUGAGAACAGAAAAAGGUACUCUUUGGAAGUUUUCAGCCACUGGAGAAACUAUAGUUGAUUCCAAUUUAGAACUGUAGAUCUUACAUCUUUGAAAGAGCCAACAGAACAUCUGGCCAAAUCUCCUCAUCUCUCACAAGUAAAGUUGCUUAUGUUCACUUAGCCGAUAAAGCAACAAACCCAGCAGGAGUACAUGGUUUACUUAAAUCAAAUACAGUUAGUGGAGGAAGAAGGGGUUGGACUCACCACCAGUGGAGAAAUCAGCUACCCUUUCUUGGCCUCAGAACUUCACCUGCAAAAUAAAGAUGAUAAUGCUAAUGCCCUCAACCUCCAAAAGAAGUUAAAUCCAACAGGCAAAUCAGAAGGUUUAUGAGGCCAUUUAUUCCCAGCUCCAUAGUGACACUUCCCAAGCAACCAAUGACAUCUGUUAGUGGUGGUAGAGGUGACCUGCUUUGGUCCUGGCCCAUAGCUUUAUGAUCAUCACUAUAAUUAGAUAUAAUGAAUGUUCAUGAGUAGCGGAGCUUCUGUUCUGCAGUUAAUGUUUAUUCCACCAAUUAGCACUGACUGUUCUUAGAAUACAACAACCAAGCAUGUUAAAGUUCUGAGAAAUUAAAAGAAAUGGAGGGAAAGGUGAAAAAGAGUUGAAGGAGGGACUGAUGCCCUUCCUCAUUUAAUGCUACUCUAUCUGCAGGCACUAAAUAAAAAGAUCCCAUUAUUGGAAACAGAAUGUGAGAAGGCCUGGGGAAAUACAUGUUGAAUCUCAGGCCAGCCAAGAAUAUCAGACACACACAGAAGAAGAGGACCCAUCUACCUUUUUGUUUCCUUUCAAUGAGUCGCCCAUCUCUCAUGGUAGGGCAGGUACAACCAGAAGCAACUCAUUGUUCCCCAUGUAAUGUUGAUUGAAGUGAUAAGCUAUGGGACACUUCAGUUAUUUUUUAAAAUAACAGAAAUAUUUCAGAUUCAUUCUCUAGUUGGUUACACACUGGAGGAUUUUACCUGGGGGCCUUGACCACUAAACCAGUACUUUUCCUACUGCAUUAGUUCAAUUGCUGCAUAACAAAUCACCAUAGACCUAGCAGCUUUAAACAACACAUGUUUUAUCUCACAAUUUCUGUAUGUUGAGAAUCCAGGCAUGGCUUAACGGGAUCCUCUCCUCUGGUCUUCCAAGGCUACAAUCAAAUUGCCAGCCAGGCUACAUUCCCAUCUGAAACUUUUGAUUGUUCUUCCAGGCUUCUGUGUUUGUUGGAAGGGUUCAGUUACUUGUGGUUGUAGGACUGAGGCCCUUAGCUCCUGGAGGCCAGCUGCAGUUCCCUGAAAUGUGGUCCUCCUCUUAGGCAGUUCACACAAUGGCUAUUUGCUUCUUCAAGGCCAGCAAAGGAAGUGUUCUCCAGCCUGCUUUAGGUGGAGUUUUACAUAAUAUCACAUAAUUAUGGGAGUGACCUCCUAUCACCUUUGCCAUAUCCUAUUGGUUAAAAAGCAGGUCACAGGUUCCAUCUGUACUCAAGGGGAGGGAAUUAUACAAAAGCAUGACUCAUUGGAGGCCACCUUAGGUUGUAUCUGUCAUACCUACUAAUUUUUAAUUAUGAAGGAAAGGGAACCUCUUUCCUUUUAAACAUUCAUGUGAGGAAAUCAAGAGCUCAGAGUGAAAGGAACAACAGUAAGAUUAUUUUGAAGACAACAGCUGUUCAACUGUCUUCCAGCACUUCAGGCUUUGAAAACAUCAAUGAGUGUGGAAGAAUCAAGAAACCAAUACAAAUACUCAGGGACUUGCUAAUGUCAUGCAAAGUAUCUCCUGUGGAUCAGCAUCAACAGUGAAAACAAUGACAAAUUUUUACUCAUUGUUUGCCUGGAGAAAACAGUAUGGUUCAGUGACCAUUUUGUAGAAAAACAAAUGUUUUCCUGCCAUUUUGUAGGAAAACAAGGUGGUUUUGCACAGGAUUAAAGAAUUAUCUGGCCAGGGCAAUUAGGCAGGAGAAGGAAAUAAAGGGUAUUCAAUUAGGAAAA
rnacentral:lncRNA from 10 species